GCCCGAGUGGUGAAAUGGUAGACACACAGGACUUAAAAUCCUGAGGACAAUUUUGUCCGUGCCGGUUCAAGUCCGGCCUCGGGCACCA
rnacentral:tRNA from 1 species